rnacentral:rRNA from 1 species
AGCGAACGCUGGCGGCAGGCUUAACACAUGCAAGUCGAACGGGCAUCUUCGGAUGUCAGUGGCAGACGGGUGAGUAACACGUGGGAACUUACCCUUCGGUUCGGAAUAUCUCAGGGAAACUUGAGUUAAUACCGGAUACGCUCUUUUGGGGUAAUGUAUUCUGCCGCAGGAUCGGCGCGCGUCUGAUUGGUUUGCUGGUGGGGUAACGGCCUACCAAGGCGACUUUCAGUAGCUGGUCUGAGAGGAUGAGCCGCCACACUGAGACUUAGACACGGUCCAGAAUCCUCCGGGAGGCAGGAGUGGGUGAUAUUGGAACAUGGGCGCAAGCCUGAUCCAGCCAUGACGGGAGAGUGAUGAAGGUAUUAGGGUUGUAAAGCUCAUUUGUCCAGGACGAUAAUGACGGUACCGGAACAAUAAGCCCCGGCUAACUUCGUG